rnacentral:rRNA from 1 species
UACGGGAGGCAGCAGUGGGGAAUUUUGGACAAUGGGCGAAAGCUUGAUCCAAGCAAUGCCGCGUGUGUGAAGAAGGCCUUCGGGUUGUAAAGCACUUUUGUCCGGAAAGAAAACCUCCGCCCUAAUAUGGUGGGGGGAUGACGGUACCGGAAGAAUAAGCACCGGCUAACUACGUGCCAGCAGCCGCGGUAAUACGUAGGGUGCAAGCGUUAAUCGGAAUUACUGGGCGUAAAGCGUGCGCCGGCGGUCCGCUAAGACAGAUGUGAAAUCCCCGGGCUUAACCUGGGAACUGCAUUUGUGACUGGCGGGCUAGAGUAUGGCAGAGGGGGGUAGAAUUCCACGUGUAGCAGUGAAAUGCGUAGAGAUGUGGAGGAAUACCGAUGGCGAAGGCAGCCCCCUGGGCCAAUACUGACGCUCAUGCACGAAAGCGUGGGGAGCAAACAGGAUUAGAUACCCUGGUAGUCCACGCCCUAAACGAUGUCAACUAGUUGUUGGGGAUUCAUUUCCUUAGUAACGUAGCUAACGCGUGAAGUUGACCGCCUGGGGAGUACGGUCGCAAGAUUAAAACUCAAAGGAAUUGACGGGGACCCGCACAAGCGCUGGAUGAUGUGGAUUAAUUCGAUGCAACGCGAAAAA